rnacentral:lncRNA from 1 species
GUGGUCUAUAAAAAAGAGGCGAAUAUAUAUUGAACAAGUGAGAGGUUUAGCGCUAUAAAACUAGGUUCAAUCCACCAUUUUCUAUAUUUGAAAAUGCCUGUACCAAGUCAGGAAUAUGACAGCUGUUGUCCAUUCGUUUCAUGUGUUUUAUCCUUUGAUUGUGCCCUUUGAUUAGGGACUUUCCGUUUUGAAUUUUCCUCGGUGCUCAGUAUUUAUGUGAUUUUACUUUUUGAUGAUAAGGUGAAUACUUGUUUUUAACGUGUCAAAAUAAAUAUUCACCAAAAAAUAUGUCACAAAAUAACCUCUGGCCCAAGACCACAAUUAAUGACCCCGAAAAGUUCACGAAUAUAGUUCCCUUUAAUUAUAGUGUAUUUUUUCUUUAUUUUUCCUUUUCCUUUCUCAUUCAUUUCUUAGCUUUUC